UUGCUCCACCGAAAGAAAAAGAGUGGCGAACGGGUGAGUAACACGUGGGUAACCUGCCCAUCAGAAGGGGAUAACACUUGGAAACAGGUGCUAAUACCGUAUAACACUAUUUUCCGCAUGGAAGAAAGUUGAAAGGCGCUUUUGCGUCACUGAUGGAUGGACCCGCGGUGCAUUAGCUAGUUGGUGAGGUAACGGCUCACCAAGGCAACGAUGCAUAGCCGACCUGAGAGGGUGAUCGGCCACACUGGGACUGAGACACGGCCCAGACUCCUACGGGAGGCAGCAGUAGGGAAUCUUCGGCAAUGGACGAAAGUCUGACCGAGCAACGCCGCGUGAGUGAAGAAGGUUUUCGGAUCGUAAAACUCUGUUGUUAGAGAAGAACAAGGAUGAGAGUAAAAUGUUCAUCCCUUGACGGUAUCUAACCAGAAAGCCACGGCUAACUACGUGCCAGCAGCCGCGGUAAUACGUAGGUGGCAAGCGUUGUCCGGAUUUAUUGGGCGUAAAGCGAGCGCAGGCGGUUUCUUAAGUCUGAUGUGAAAGCCCCCGGCUCAACCGGGGAGGGUCAUUGGAAACUGGGAGACUUGAGUGCAGAAGAGGAGAGUGGAAUUCCAUGUGUAGCGGUGAAAUGCGUAGAUAUAUGGAGGAACACCAGUGGCGAAGGCGGCUCUCUGGUCUGUAACUGACGCUGAGGCUCGAAAGCGUGGGGAGCGAACAGGAUUAGAUACCCUGGUAGUCCACGCCGUAAACGAUGAGUGCUAAGUGUUGGAGGGUUUCCGCCCUUCAGUGCUGCAGCAAACGCAUUAAGCACUCCCGCCUGGGGAGUACGACCGCAAGGUUGAAACUCAAAGGAAUUGACGGGGG
rnacentral:rRNA from 1 species